GAAGAAGCCGCGCGAGGCCGGGCGCGCAGGAGGGGCUCGCGAAGUGUACGCGCAAGGGCUUUCUCGCGCAUGUGCGGAGUGGGCUGUUGUCGUGCGACGCCCAGGAGCUGCUAGAACUGAGCGGACGGCUGUUAGCCGCGGCCGGGGCGUUUUCUCAGCUCAGCGUUGCAACCCGAAGGCUUGACCGGCCUCGUUCUCCGCGGGACUAGGGAGCCUGGGGUGUUCCUGCCCCGGUCAAGGCCUGUUUCCUCCUCGCGGGGCGGCGGUAAGGAAAAUACGAGAGCCUCCCGCUCGAUUUCUUUCCCUCGAUCAAACGUUUUGAUAAGGAAGACUUCAGGGCGAGCGGACCCCACCCGCACCCCCGCCGGCCUCAGACUGAGUGCGCCUCUUUGGGGCUCGUGUGGCUUCUGUGCAGUCAUUCAAGCAGCGGGGAAGGAGUGAGCGUCCAGGACCUACGGGUGCUGGGCCUUCUACACUGCGCGUCCGGAGGGCAGGGCGCCAUCCUGCAAGAUGCAUUUACGUUGCAUCCAAAACGAUGAUGGUAAAGAUAACGCAUGCUAAUUGUGGGGAAAAUUAACAAGCCGCAGCAAACAUUAGGGAAAUGUAGACUGUGGACUUGCCCCGUAAUGUGACUCUCGCCGUUAACAUUAACACUUUAGUUGGCUAUACCUCUGUAUUUUAUGAAAAUAUAUAUCUUUGUGUUUUAGAUACAUUUCUUUUUUGUUGCUACGUAACUUCUGACGCUUAUGGAUUGUCUCCUGUACGUCAGAUAUUGCCUUAGACCAGAGGCUGGCAAACGUUUUCUAUAAAGGGCCAGAUAGCAAAUAUUUUAGGCUCUUCUGGCCAAGAGCCAAAAUUGAGGCUAUUGUGUAGUGCUUAUAUAACCAAAGAGAAAAAUGUCCAGAACACUUUUAUUGGUGGAAUAUAAAAUAUAGCAAUUGAGUACAGUUUAAAUAAUUUAGGUCUAAUGAGAAGAAUGGAAUGCUUUUCUGGGGAUUCCAAGUCAGUCUUUCCUGUCAUCAAUUGAUUGCAAAUGUUCACCUGUAAAGACCAUUCUUGGUUCACAAAAAGGCAGGCUGGGGCUUCCCUGGUGGUGCAGUGGUUGAGAGUCCGCCUGCCGAUGCAGGGGACGCGUGUUCGUGCCCCGGUCCUGGAAGAUCCCACAUGCCGUGGAGCGGCUGGGCCCGUGAGCCAUGGCCGCUGAGCCUGCGCGUCCGGAGCCUGUGCUCCGCAACGGGAGAGGCCACAACAGUGAGAGGCCCGCGUACCACAAAAAAACAACAAAAAAAAGGCAGGUUGGAUGUUGCUUGUGGAUGAAACAAUGAACAAGUCAGACCUAAGUUCUUGCUCUCAUGAGCCCACGGUCUGGGUAGGCAGAGAGACCCAUAGAUCAGUAAACAAAUAUAUCAUCUCAAAGGUGUUAUUGAGGAAAACAGAGGGUGCUAAGACCAUGAUAAGGUAGGAGGGUGGUGCCUACACUGAUAGGGUUAUCUGAGAAGGCCCUUGGGCGGUGAGGUUUGCACUGAGAUCCCACUCCGGAACCAGCUAUGUGAACAGUCCAGGCAGGGGGAAUGUUCUGUUUAGUAAAUGCUCAGUAAUCUGGAUAGUGUGAUUUUUCCAUGCCAGUAAAGAACUGUAUCAAGAAGCUUUAACUUCUGAUCCACCACGGAUAGAUUUCAGAGAUAGCACUCGUUUUUGUGAGUUGAAGAUACACAGCACUUAUCAGAUUCUUAACGGGAUCUGUGAACCAAAACACGUUACAAAUCUGGUCAUUUUUAAUGACUGCAUAGAACAAUGUGGUGUGGAUUUACCAUAAUUUUUUGAAGCCAGACACCAUGGAGUCUCUUGAGUUGGUUCUACUUUUAAACCACUAUUAAAAGUUUUAGUGUAUACAUAGAUCUUGUGGUCAAAGGGUUUGCACUUUUAAUGCUGACGUUGCUCAACUGUCCACCAGAAAGGUUGUACACCCAUGACUACUGCUAUCAUACAUUCAUCUCAUAGUGUUUAAAAUGCCAUUUGAGACUGGAUAUGUAAGCAUCACAAGGCCUCCCCCAGGCUCCUUUCAGUGGGCCAAAUCAGAAUUCGUUGGUCAGGAGAAAGCAGUAGAGAGAGUUGCUAGAAGUAGAGGCUCCUGCAGACCGACAUGGUCUCCAAGGACCUGGGAACAAAACUCUUAAGUAAGCAAGUAAAAUGCACCCCCCUUGGUGAGAUGAACUUGCUGAGGGGCCCACCUAACAAGGAAAAAGGAAAGAAUUUAAAACCCACACGCAUACCCACUUCGGUCCUGCAAAUGUGCUGUGAGGAAUUUAUCCUAGAUUAGAAGCAUGUGCAACAUUGUGCGCUGCAAACUCAUCCCAUUAAAAUAGUAUUUAAUGUGCAGCAGUAGGGGUUGGUUAAUUGUAGCACAUCUUAUAAUACCAUGUACACAGACAGAAUCAAGGGAUAUUUAGUAACAAGGGAAAUGUUUCUAGCAUAUUUUUUUAAAGCAGUUUACAAAAUAAUAUGCACAGUAUGCCAGUUUUGAAAAAAGUGCAUAUAUCCUCUCCAGCGGCAACUGCUGUGUCCAGCUUCCUGUGUAUCUUUUCAGAAAUAAACUAUUCACAAGCACCUUUAUAUAUCUCAGCGAUAUAUUUUGGAAGUUGUUCUUUAUCCCAUUCUUUUUGACAUCUGUAUAGUCUAGAUAAUUUUUUGGCUUUAAUAAUUUUUUUCUAACUUAAAAAAUAUAUAGACUAUAAAAAUAUAUAGACCAGAAAAGUUGUUACUAAAAAAAGUAGGGGGUUGACUGAGGAAAUCUAGGCCCAUCUAGACCUAUGGUCUCAGUAAAGCAAAGCUUGGUGUGACUGUCACCUCAUCUGCAGUAACUGAAUCCCAUGUGAUCAACUAGCUGAAGCCAUGGCAGGAGGAAUGUCCUGUGGGAACAGAGAAGGUGGUCCUGUCCUGUCCUAGACAUGAGCAUUCCUUGGGCCUGAUCAUGUGUCACCAAACGAACUUCUGGUCACAAAGGAGCUGCCCUGGGGAGAGAAAGGAGGAGUCCAGUGUCUGGGAGCAGACAUCCCUGAGGAGGGGUUCGGGCUCUGGCAUCUGAGCAAUGAGGCUGUCCUUAAACCUGGCCCUGCCUGACUUAUAAGGCAGUGACACCAUCCCCAGUAGAGCCUCUUGAGGCCCUGCUGGAACCACAGCAGACAACUGCAAAGUGACUUGGGUCAUCUGGACAUCAGGGCUCCUUCAGGGUCUUACUUUAGCAGUGUGGCCGAGGCAACUGAAUUGAAAGGAUCCCCUUUGAUUGCACCAGCUCCUCUUCGGAGUGUAUGACAAACGUGAGGAAAAACAAAACCACUCACUUCAUUGAGGCUGCUUUGCAGGGCAAAGGGCCCUGGGCUUGGAGUCAGACACUUGGGUUCCAGGCGUGUUCCAUGGGCCAAGCCUGACUUUCUCUGUUGCCAUUUCCCUCUGUAAAAUAGGGCUAAUACCUGCCUUUUGGGUCCUGAUAGUUAAACAAGCAUAUAUAAUAUAAAAUGUGCAAAUAAAAUACUCUGUGAAUUGAAAAUGCAAGCCAAAACAUUCCCAUAUGCCGCUUGAAUAAUUACCCUGUACUUCCUUUAGCAUUUUCUGCCCCGCCUCCAACACAGCACUUGUGUGCUCCUUAGUCACACAUCCAUAAAUUAAGCUGAGUGCUCUGAGGGUAGAAGGCUUACGUAUCUGUUUCCUGUACUUGGCACAAUAUGGCAGUUUUGAAAAAAGUGCAUAUAUCCUCUCCAGAGGCAACUGCUGUGUCCGGCUUCCUGUGUAUCCUUUCAGAGAUAAACUAUUCACAAGCACCUUUAUAUAUCUCAGCGAUAUAUUUUGGUGCUCAGUAAAUCACUGAACAAAAGGAUUGUGAAUUAAAAGGAUGUGGGCACUUGUUUUAGGAGAAACUCCUACCCAUCAACUGUGAUUGAAGGAAAUUGUCUGUUGGGAGUGGUUUCUGAGUAGUAUGGGGGGAAAUGGGCUUGGAGGCAGACUUCAGUGUGAUCCUGGACAAAUGACUUAACCCCUCUGGGCCUCACAAGGUGAAGAGUAAUCCUUUGUGGAUUGUGUGUGAAAAGCCCACACGUAGCAGGUACUCUGUUGUUCCUCAUACAGAUGUAAGCACAGCUCUCACAACAUUCUUGGAUUUUCCAUGUUAUUCUGUUCAAUAAAGGCAUGUCAUUAACUGUUAA